ensembl:snRNA U6 U6 spliceosomal RNA
GUGCUCACUUCAGCAGUACAUAUACUAAAAUCGGAACGAUACAGAGAUUGUGCAGCGUGGCCCCUGCACAAGGAUGACACACAAAUUCGUGAAGCAUUCCAUAUUUUU